rnacentral:lncRNA from 1 species
GUUCCCAACACCACUAUGGUGGUUCACAACCUUCUGUAACUACAGUUCUAAGGGAUCUGAUGCCUUCUUCUGACCUCUGCAGGCACCAGCUCUUUUAAAAAUCCCAAUGCAGAGGAUGAAGAAAUGGACCAUAAAAUUAUCUUAUGAAGAUGAUAGAGACCAUUAAAGCAGAAACAAGAAAAUCCCUUAAAGAAAUAGAAGAAAAAAACAAGCAAAAAUUACAUGAAAUGGAGGAAACAACAAAACAAAAAAUUCAAGAAAAAAGCGAAUCUCUUAAAGAAUCUAAAGAAAGUCAAGAAAAAAAACAACCAAACAAGUAAAGGAAAAAAAUUAAACAGUUCAUGGCUUGAAAGAAGAAUUAGAAACAAUAAGGAAAACACAGAAUGAGGGGAUACUGGAAAUAGAAAAGCUGGGUAAAUGGUCAGGAACCACUGAUGUAAGUAUAACCAAUAUAAUCCAAGAGAUGGAAGAGAGAAUCUCAGGUGUUGAAGCCUCUCUAGAGGAUAUACUGUCAUCGACCAAAGAAAAUCUCAAGUCCAACAAAUCCCUAACACAAACUAUCCAGUAAAUAAGGGACACCAUGAAAACACCAAAUCUAAGAAUAAUAGGUAUAGAAAAAGGUGAAGAAAUUCAGCUCCAAGGUACAGAAAACAUAAUCAACAAAAUCAUAGAAAAAAAACUUCCCCAACCUAAGAAAGGAUAUGUCUAUGAAAGUAUAAGAAGCUUACAGAACACCAAAUAGAUUGUACCACAAAAGAAGUCCCCUUGCUGCAUAAUAAUUGAAACACCAAACUUACAGAAUAAAGAAAAAAAUAUUAAGAGCAGCAAAAGAAAAAGGCCAAGUAACGUAUAAAGGCAGACCUAUCUGAAUUAUACCCAACGUCUCAAUAGAAACUUUGAAAGACAGAAGGUCCUGGAUAGAUGUUCUACAAACUCUAAGGGAACAUGGAUACCAGCCCAGACAACUGUAUCCAGCAAAGCUUUCAAUCACUAUAUAUAGAGAAAACAAGAUAUUCCAUGACAAAACCAGAUUUAAGCAAUACAUAUCCACAAAUCCAGCCCUACAGAAAUUAUUGGAAGGAAAACUCAAACCCAAUGAAGAUAACUGUGCUUAAAAAACCAUGGGCUUGGGUACCAAGGUAAUUGUAGCCUCAUAAAAAGAGUUUGCAAUGAACCUUCUACUUUUAUUGUGUGGAACAAUUUGAGGAGUAUUGGUAUUAUCUCUUCUUUGAAUUUCUGGUAGAAUUCUGCACUGAAGCCCUGGGCUUUUAUUUUUCCUGGGCAGACUUUUGAGGAGUGCUUCUAUUUCCUUAGGGGUUAUAGGUCUGUUUAGGUUUGUUAUCUGUUCUUGAUUCAAUUUUGGUAAGAGAUAUGUGUCCAGAAAAUUGUCCAUUUCCCAUACAUUUUCCAAUUUUGUGGAGUACAGGUUUUCAAAGUAUGACUUGAUGAUUCUCAGGAUUUCCUCGGUGUCCCUCGUAAUGUCCCCCUUUUCAUUUCUGAUUUUGUUAAUUUGCCUCUUCUCUCUCUUCCUAUUGGUUAGUUUGCAUAAAGGUUUGUCUAUCUUAGUGAUUUUCUCAGAGAACCAACUCUUUGUGACAUUGAUUCUUUGAAUUGUUUUCUUUGUUUUGACUUUAUUGAUUUCUACCCUCAGUUUGACUAUUUCCUGGUGUCUACUCCUCCAGGGUGAAUUUGCUUCCAUUUUUUCUAGAUAUUUCAGUUGAGAACUACAGACCAAUAU